rnacentral:lncRNA from 1 species
GAGCUUUGUUAAUGCAUUUUAAAAUGAUGCAUGCAGGGUUUAAAUUUGACAUUAUAAAUAUCCUUAGGACAUCUGGUUUAUUUAGCUGUUUUUUUCUUCUUGUAUAUUUGAUUCACAAUGCAGGUCAUUUUGUCCCUAAUAUUUUUGUUUCAGUGGUUUGAUUUACUUAUGAUGGUCAAAUUUACAUUGAAGUUAGCAGGGAACAUUGUCCAUUGUGAUGUUUUGCCAGACCUCAUGGACUCAAACUUGAAGAAAAAUUGUUAGAAGAGGUGCUGAUCGUGACGGAUGUUUUCUUUAGUAGAUGUUUGUUAGUCAGCAGUGGUUUUUAUUCUCAGUCUCGCCACAGCCAAUUUUUCCUUGUGACGACACAAUGACAGAAAAACAAAUUUAUGUGUUGGUUAUUUUUGUAACCUGGCUUGUGAAGACCUGAAACCCCAAACUGCGUCAGCAUAUGACCUCAGUUUCCUUUUUUUCUCACAGAAAACCCAGUAGGUGUAUUAAAAUAUACUGUGAAUACAUGGAUUAGUGUCUGUGUUUGAUGAAGCAGCAUCACACUCUUCUGCAGGGAUUGGGCUCUUCUGGAAACUGGACUUUGGAGAAAUUAUGCUGAUCUUUGGACUGAUGCUGCUGCUGCAAACUGCUGCAUGUCUGGAUCGGUUCUGCAGGUUUAAUCAGUCUGAUAUCUGUUACGCAGCUCUGGGACACAAACUCAAUCUGCUGAUGGUGCGGGACGCUAGUAAAUAUGACACGACGAUACAAAAGAGAAUAAACAAAAACAAAACAAGUGAUCCAGUUUGUAGAGUAAAGAAUGGCAGGAUGCGGGAGAAAGAAUGUGAUCUUUAUAGUAACAGACCUGAAGUUGCAGUCAUUAAUGGGACUCUGAUAAUAAACCGUGUGAUCAGAGCAGAUUCAGGGAGUUACACAGUAACUUUAACUCCCUCAGAAGGCUCAGACACAUCUACAGAUCUUCAAGUGAAUGUUGAAGCUCCUGUUGGCUCAGUGGAAGUGUCCAUCAGCUGCUCCUCCAGUGGAGUGAAGAGGGCGUCCUGCUCCUCUGAGGGCGAGCAGAUCCUCUACAGCUGGAGUCUGAAUGGAGGUCCACUGAUGGAUGGAAACUCCAGCUUUGAUCUGAAUGAGGGAACUGAUGGAAACAUCAGCUGCAGUGUGAAGAACCACGUCAGUCACGGACAGAAGACCGUUAGUGUCAAACCCUGUCCUGGACCAACUACUGCAUACUGUGACCUCAACAGAAAAUUCACCAACUGGCUUACAUGUCUCUCUGAUUGUUUUGAGCUGUGUUGCACUGAUCCUGAUUCUGCUGUUCAUCACCGCAUAUCACAUUUUACAAAAAAAACAGGUCAAGUCGACACCAGGUCAGUUCAUUUCGAAUCUGUAGUCCAUAAACUAACUGAUAAAGGUUAAAAUGUAGUACUUUUUGAUGCAAGCAGCAAUUAGAGA